rnacentral:tRNA from 1 species
GAGGGUGUAGCUCAGUGGUAGAGUGUGUGCUUGGCAUGUAUGAGAGGUCCUGGGUUCAAUCCCCAGUCCCUCCA